CUAAUUCAGAACUGUUUGUGCUUCACAGGAAGGACACUGAACUUUCACCUCAGGUCCACCACAGUUUGACCCUCGUGAGGGAAAUCCCCGACAAGCAACUUCUAUGGGUCAGACAUAAAACGAGAGAGAGGGAGCAGUAUGAACUGUAAGACAGGGUUUCCCCGGCGAGCAGCGACUCCAGCACAGGACCAUCAGGGAUGCCCCCCUCCUUCUUUAGAGAGGCCUCGUAGUC